rnacentral:rRNA from 1 species
AAUAUCGCACAAUGGGGGAAACCCUGAUGCAGCUACGCCGCGUGAGCGAAGAAGGCCUUCGGGUCGUAAAGCUCUGUCCUAAGGGAAGAAACGGACGGGACCAUAGGAGGAAGCCCCGGCUAACUACGCCCCAGCAGCCGCGGCAAUACGUAGGGGGCGAGCGUUAUCCGGAAUUACUGGGCGGAAAGGGUGCGUAGUCGGCCUUUUAAGUCAGAUGUGAAAGGCUACGGCUUAACCGUAUUUAGCAUUUGAAACUAAAAGGCUUGAGUGCAGGAGAGGAGAGUGGAAUUCCUAGUGUAGCGGUGAAAUGCGUAGAUAUUAGGAGGAACACCAGUGGCGAAGGCGACUCUCUGGACUGCAACUGACGCUGAGGCACGAAAGCGUGGGGAGCGAAC